AAUGAAGUUUGAUAGAGUGCUUCUGAUACACGCUGGUUGUUUUUCAAAAAAUAGUAUUAACCAGGCUGAGCAAAUUGAUACCUUGAUCAUGUGAACCAUAAAAUAGAUGUCCUUCUGCCUGAAGUCCCUGAGGACUUGGUCUGGGAGGAACGGCUUUGGUAUCCUCUGAGAAUAUGGACAGGCUGAGGCUACACAGGUACCAGGAACACUUUUAUUCUAAGAGAUGAGGGGCAGGUACAGGGAGAAGGAAUCUGCAGUCUUUCCUUAUUUGAGAAAAAAUGCUCUAAUAUUGUGUGCUGGUAAGCCUAAUAGCUCUGACAGACUUGUACUGGUGGAUUUAGGCCUGUUCUGCUGGAGGUGUCAGCUCUGUGCCAGUGGCAGCUGGUGUAUAACCCAGUUUACAAAUCAGCAUAUUCAUACAAGCCCAUCUUCCUAAGUGAGAGGUUUGCAGUGGCCAUGACUGUGACGGAUGAAGAAUGAAGACAGGGAUGGGCUCAGCAACCUUCAGGGGUGAAGAGAGACCUUCAGCAAGGUCAAGAACAUCUGAAAUGACUGGCUUAAGCUACAGCAGCUCUUGUUUUCUAGUCUGGUCCUGUGUUUCACCUGGCUCCUACAAAUUUCUUUCCAAAGUUUCCAGUCAAACAAAUGAAGACAAGAAGAGUUCUUAUGUAGACCACGAGGAACCCGAAGAGACGUCAGGACCACCAAGAAAGUCCUACAGAGACCCAUGGAUAUUUGGAAUAGAUGAGGUCGGACCUAAGAAUUCUACUGACACUUUCAAAGUCUGAAGAUACCAGAAAACGAGAGAUCCUGAAACCAUUUACCUGUUCAAAUAGGCUACUCAAUUAAUAAUCUUCCAGAGUAGAUAGAGAAAGGUUUAGAAGUGUUAUGUUUUACAGCUCUUCACUAAGCCCUGGAGAGCUAGAGAGUACUGUAAAAAUAAUAAUGUAAUGAUUCAUGAUUUUAGCAGCUACUAGAAUAUUAUUUACAGCAGUCUGAAAAUCUGGUUGCUGUAAGCCACAGUAGUUCAGGUAGCAGGAGAGAGAGAGUUAUAUCACUGAAAUCAUUAAAGAACACACAUGUGAAUACAUCAGGUGCUGAAUAUUGCCAUUGACGAGCCAGGCAGGGAAACCUGGCUCCUUCCAGUUCUGCAGGGAAGUGGUAACAGGGCAAGUCUGAGCAGAAGACAGAAAAGAAUAGGAAAAAUGGUUCCUCAGGCUGUGUGAUAGCAUAGUUCAAAUUUGCAGUGAAAAAUGUUCCUUGUUUGCAGCAUUGGCAGGUGAAGAAAUCAGUAUUAUGACCGCUGCUGCUCAUGAGGGAUAAAUGCUGAAUACAACUGGACCUUUUUCCGGUAAAGCAAUUAUUUGUAUUUUUUGUUCAUCACUCAAUUGCAGACUAGCAUCAGGAGGACCAAAAAGACAUAGAGGCUGACAGAAUAUGACAUGUGGGAUAAAAAGUCUCAUUCUUUACUCUUAAGUAACUUCUCUCUGGUACCUGUUCUUGUGCAUCUCACUGCUAUGGUGCUUUUUUGAUAGAUGUAAUUUUCUGUAUAGCUGUUCAGCAGUUUUUCUGCCCUACCAUCUGUUCUAAACAGUUAAAGACAUUUUUAUUUUCAAUUUUUCUUCAGGAAUAUAGAAGAGGCAUCUGCCUCCAACCAUUUAAAUAUAAAUUUACAAAGUAUUUAUGCAAAAUAACUCGGAUA
ensembl:lncRNA